ACCUGAGUGGCUCAGUCAGUUGAGCAUCUGAUUUCGACUCAGGUCAUCAUUUCAUGGUUCAGGGGUUUGAGCCCCCAUGUCAGGCU
rnacentral:tRNA from 1 species